ACCCGCACCAACUUUACCGAUCAUCUCUAUGAUGCUUUAAGUAGGAGUGGGAUCGUCACUUUCAGGGAUGAUCCAAAGCUGGAGGCCGGGGAAGAGAUCGCGCCAGAACUCUUUAAAGCAAUUCAGCAAUCAUGGUGCUCGGUAAUCGUUUUUUCACAAACUUAUGCCUUUUCAAGUUGGUGCUUGGAGGAGCUUGCUGAGAUUGUUAAACAACAUAAUAACGACGGCCAUAAAGUGUUUCCAAUUUUUUACGAUGUUGAUCCAUCUGAUUUAAGAAAACAAAAAGAGAAAGUGGAAGAAGCCUUUGCUAGACAUGAAGAGAGAUACGGAGAAGAUAGUGAGAAGAUCCAAAGGUGGCGAAAUGCUUUAAUUCAAGUGGCUGGAAUCAAGGGAUGGCAUUUAAAUAACAGGUAACUCUUUCUUUUCUUCUCUAUUUUCUAUUUUUUGGGAUAUAUAUGUAUAACUUUUUUCUUUCUUUCUAAUCCUAUGUGUUUCCAGUCUUGGUUCUUGUUUGCUUCCAAACUCUAUUAUGUUUCAUGAUUCAUUGAAAAAGAAAGUGCAUUUGAUAAUAUGAAAAAAAAAAUUAUUCAAAAAAUUAAAAUUUCUUUUCUUGUAGGCAUGAAUCGGAAUUUAUUAGAGAGAUUAUUAAGAAGAUAUCAGCAAAACUAUGUCACCUAGUUACUCAUAGUCACUUGGUUGGAAUGACUGAACGCUUGGAGGAUUUAUAUUUGAAAAUAAACAUUGGGGAAAAUGAUGUCCACAUUAUAGGGAUUUGCGGAAUGGGUGGUAUCGGUAAAACCACACUCGCAAGACUUGCUUAUAAUCAAAUGUCACAUCAUUUUGAAAGUAAAAGCUUUAUUGCUGAUGUUCGAGAAGUUUCAGACAAAUGUGGAUUAGUUUCUUUACAGAAACAACUUCUUUCGGAGAUUUUUCAUGAUGAAUGCUUCAAAUUUUUCAAUGUUCAUGAAGGGAAUGAUAUAAUUAGUCAUAUGUUGUCUCGCAAAAAGGUUCUUGUUGUUCUUGAUGAUGUUGAUAACAUUCAACACUUAAAAUGCUUGGUUGGAAGGCAUGAUUGGUUCGGAUUAGGGAGUAGAAUCAUUGUAACAACAAGAGAAGAACAUUUGCUUCGAUCUUGGCCAGUUGAUGAUUUGUAUGAGCCCACAACAUUGAAUCCCAAAGAUGCGCUUCAACUUUUCAGUCUGAAAGCUUUUCAUAGUGAUACAGUGCCGAAAGGUGAUUUCAUUGAGCUUUCUUGCCAUGUUGUAAAAUAUGCUGGUGGGCUCCCGUUAGCUCUUGAAAUUUUGGGUUGCUUUUUAUGCGGUAGAGAUGCGACUCAAUGGAGAAGUGCAAUUGAAAGACUUAAAAGAGAUUCUAAUAAAGAAAUUCUCGAUAAACUUCGAAUUAGUUUUGAUGGACUGGAAGAAAGGGAGAAGAAUAUAUUUCUAGAUAUAGCAUGCUUCUUCAAUGGGAAGGAGAAAGAUUUUGUAAUGAAAGUAUUGGAUGGUUGUGAGUUUUUCCCAAAUAUUGGCAUUGAUGUUCUCAUUAAAAAAUCUCUUAUAAAAGUUCUCAUUAAAAAAUCUCUCAUAGAAGUCGAUGAACACAAAUAUUUGUGGAUGCAUAACUUGUUGCAAGAAAUGGGAAGAAAAAUUGUUAGAGAAAAAUGUGUUGAUGAACCUGGAAAACGUUGUAGAUUGUGGGAGGGAAGAGACGUCCAUCAUGUCCUAACAAAAAACACUGUAAUUUUGAGAUAAGUCAUGUUUGAUGUUUACAAAUAUUAAAAAGGAUUUGUAGAAAUUUCAUUGCAUUACCCUUUUUAGAGCAUAAUAUUUGUAGAAAUUGUUUUACUACGUUUAAAAUGCUUUAUUUAUUAUAUUUAGAAUAUAAUAAUGCUGAAUAAAAAUGUAAGUUUCUAAAAGUUUUAUCCUACAUUAUACACCAUUUAUUUUGUUUUCUUAUUUUCUAUUCUUGAUUUUUCUUAGGGUACAAAAAUGAUUGAAGGUAUAGUCAUCGAUAAUAUAAG
rnacentral:lncRNA from 1 species